CUUUUGGGGAGCCCUCUCCUCCGGCUGACGAGCAGCAUCGGGCACUUUCCCGUACAGCUCAGGAGGCAUCGCCUGCCCGGUGCUGGAGGGAAAUCACAUCAAAGCUGCUUCAGUAAUUUAGCACAGUCUGUUCACUUUGCUGAGUCAUAAAUGAAAACAGGAGCCCGAAUUCCCCGCGAUUUUCAACAAUAGGUGGUCGUUCUGCGAGAAGGGGAGAUCAGGAGAAGUUUCUGAUUAAAGCAAACGGAGCUGAAGUUGCACUGAGGAACGUGCCCGGCUCUCCUCGCCUUCCCUCUUCCCACCACAUCUGUCCAGGAACGAUUCAGGUUCUCGGCAAAAAAAAAAUACUGGGUCUCCAUCAGUGAAAUGAGUUUCUCCUGUUCUCAGAAUACCACAGAAGCGUUAUGAAUGGGGAAGGGAAAAUGAAAUAUUCACAAGGUGCCUGUAACAACCUAAAAGUAAAUCUUCUUUUCCCCUUCCAAAAAUCAAGAGCAAAUAGACAACGUGCUCAGUCCCCAGGAAACUGAAGGCCCUAGAUAGAGCACAAUUGUCAAGAGAUGUUAACUCCGAAUCAGAAGCUAACGGCAUUCUGCCAUGACAUCCGUAGAACACAAUUUUUGCUGAGUUGUGUAAAAAAAAAAAAAAAAAUCUAUACUGUCAUCACUGAGCAAAAAAAUUAGACAGUUCCCUCUCCAGCUCCACAAGCAAUGCUAGAGGCUACUCUUGCAUAAUCUUCACCUGCUGUAAAAAUCAAUGCACCUCUCAUAGGCUCAGUAUUAAAUUACAAUUGCUCUCUGCAUUGCUCACUCUCAGGGACCAGGGCUACAAAUAAAUCUCUUUGUUUCUAAGGAGAAACAGUCUGAAACCCUCCUCAUCCCCUCUCAAUCUCUGUGGGAGAAAAAAAAAAA